AUAAAAGUGCAAAUAGGCGGAGUGAUUAUAACUAGAGAAUACUUAUGAUUUAUAUUUAGUCAACAGGAAUAAACUAUAUUGAUUAUAAACUGGCCGUUGAGAACGACCGUGACUCUAUUUUUACGCCCAUAUCAUGGAAACCAGGCUUUAGGCAAAAGUUCUGUGUUGUGAAAUCGGCUUUAAUAAGCGAGACAACGAAGUCACGAAGACGCGGAACUUGAUUUUUGCCCGUCUGUACAUCAUCUUGUGCAUACUGAGUUUGAGAUCACUGCAGUGGUUGGUCAACAUGUCUUGCCGUUGUAGAUUGAUGUUUCGCUGUUUAUAAAUAUUGACCCUGACAAAACAGCGAGAUAUAAAACUCCCGUCUUUGUUCUUCUGCUUUCGUUCAGAACGAAGUUCACGGCGAAUUUUGCCAAAAUAUUCAUUCUUAAUUAAUGAAGGUAGAAGAUUUACGAAGACGGGAUAUGGAUUCAUGUCUCGUUGUCUUGUCUGGGUAAGGAUUAGGGCCAGCAUUCAUAAACAGCUCGACAUGAAUCCUGUAACCUGUCUCCGUUGAACGCUUUGAACAGUUAGCCAUUUCCCAAUCGAGCAGAGGACUGGGUCUAGUUGAUGUUUGGAGGGACAACCAUUCUCGUACCCAGAGCCCUUCUUACGCGCGGUGCGACGAGGGGCUCUGGCCAAAUCCAUAUUUCGAACUGGCAUCUGAUUGGCUAGUUAUAACACAAGA